CUCUCACCGAAUACACUUAAAGGACACAUUCAGUCCUGACUAGGGCUUGGUCCCUUUAUAGCAUAUGUUCUACAUUGACGGGGAUUAAGUUUCUCUCCCGAAUGGAACAAUACACCGUCACAGGGAGCUACUGUACUUUCCAGAGCAACAGACACCAACCCAGGCAAAUGGCAAACAGAAUCGCGUCUCACACACAGAGCAACUACGCAGGAAAUGUGAGCGGGGCUGAUGGAAGCUGAUAGGCAGGGCUGGAGUGUGAGCUCCAGCCCUGGAUGUGACAGCAGCCGGCAGAGGAGCACUUAGCAGCUUAUCCAGUGUCCGAUUUGGAUUCCGGCAAAGGUCCAAGCAUGGAAUGCUGCCGUCGGGCAACUCCUGGCACACCGCUGCUCUUUCUGGCUUUCCUACUCCUGAAAAAGAGAGCUAAGAAGAUGCCACAGCAUCUUAAUGGUGGUCUAGUCUUUACAGUUUGUUAUUUGCUGCAUACUCCGAGUCUGCGGAGUAGCUGGGAGAGUGUCUGUGCUCUAGGUAACCAGGAGAAGUGGACCAGCUUUUCAACCAGAGACUCCAUAGGGAUGUGAAAGUUGGGUACAGGAUGAAGAAAGCAACACGGGCUUGUAGUGAGUUCUCUGGGCUCACCUCUACAGGAGAGCACUAGACAAACUACAGCCAGAGAGCCACACAGAGCCAAGGCAAAGACAAUGAAAAGGACAGUAAGGGGCCAGAUCCAAGAUGUAACGCUCGAGUUGCUCCAGUGGCAGAAGCUCAGGAAUGAGAGAAAAGCAGACUCCCAAAGACAGAGAAAUGCUCUCACCCAGCAGCGGGAAAAGCAAAACACACUUCCUGAGUUCACCUGAACUCAAGUUAUCGUCACAUAUUUUUCUUUUUUCUUGCAGCAACCUACACCACUUUCCAUCACUGUAGCAAAAGUCCUGGGAGCCACUAAUAGUAAGAAGUUUCCUUAGUUCAUAGUUCUGGAGCCUGAAAGUCCAACUGACACCGCACAGGCUCUCAUGGGGGGGGGGGGGUUGUGUUACUUCAUGACACAGACAACAGUGGCGAGGAUGUGUGGAGAGAACAGUUUACCUCUCCAAGCAGAUGCAAGAGUGGAGCCCGGCAUCCAUAGCCUCUCUUAUCUACAUACCCACAAUGACCUUAAGGUCUCCCUCUAACCCCAUCUUGUAAGGGUCUAUGUCAUUAUUAACGCUUGCCAUCUAAGGCCCAAGCUUCCAAGCACAAGGACCUUGAAGCUAUUCAAACCACAAGCAAACUAUAACAGAGCCAAGCGUCUAUGGAAAAGCUCUGCUAUCAGAAGGUAACAAUGUGAAUAUUGGGCUGCAGUGCUGUUCCUGGCAUCA